ensembl:lncRNA
GUAGGGAACAAACCAGACCACGGACCAGGCCACGUUAGGGGUUGGUGUGUUUCUGGGUGGAAGAGCCUGCUCAGCCAGGGCCGGCAGGGCAAGCUGUCCUCUCUGAGCUGACAGGGAAGCCUGGGGAUGCUAGGGAAUUUGAGAGUCCCCGCCUGGCAUGCACUCCCCUUGAAAGGAUUGUCAGGAAACUGGAGGCCUUGCUGAAUUUGGAGAGGAUGAUUUAGUUCCUACUUGAUUGCUCUCCUCCUAAGUCCCUCUCUCCAUGAAGCUCCUUGAAUAUAAAUUCGGGAAUUUAUCAUCAUAGCAUUAUUGUCUGCUUCUAACCUGUAACUCCUCAUUUAUAAAAAUGGGGGCUCUGGACUAGAUCUCUCAAUUCCCUUCAGAGCCAACAUUUGAUGGUUUUAAGUGAAAAUGUGUUCCACCUGGAACCAAGGGGCGUUCAGCUCAAGCCUCUAAAAAACAUAGUUCAAGCUUAACUGGAAGGACCUGGAGAGCUGGUUACAGCCGCUGCCUCACAGCAGGUCCCAGGUAACAAGGGCCCUCUCACCUGACCCGAGCGUGGUAGGAGACAGCACGGGAUGAUUCUGAAGCCCAUAUCCUGUCCCCUCCAGGGCUUGGCAUUCUGUUUCCUGGAACUUCUCCAUUCUAAGCGGAGAUACUAUUAAAGAAUGUUUUAAAUUGAGGAAUGAGAAAUAUUCUCCACGUGAGUUUUUAAAGUCCACGUGUGAGACUGGUCGUUCUUAAGCUCAAAGUCACCUGCAGUGCUUGUUAAAAUUGCAGUCUGCGGCUCAAUUCCAGCGCUCUGACUCAGUGGAUUUGCAUUUCCAGAGCUUCUAGGUGAUUCUGGAGCAAAUUUGUGGUGGAAAACUACCUGGUGCUACCUGGUAUGUAGGAGGCUGCACUUCGCAGGGACCUGGCCUUAAACAGGCUCGGAGCCCCGCCCUCGCCGGCUUCCCAUGGCCUGUGAGGUCCGGGGAUCCGAGCAGCCUCUUCACUGACCGGCUUCAGGCCACUGGGUUCCACAAUUGCAUCAGUGAUCCGAACGGCCUGUCUCCUCAGUGCCAAACAGCUGGACACUUAGAGAGGGGAGGCCAUUCAUGUCCAGACACACAGGGUCCUACCAUGUCCCUCAUCAGGCCACCAACUCCCUAAAGACAGAGGCUUCAUCUUCCAUUUCUUUUUCAUCUUCCUGGGCAAGGCGUACAGUCAAUUGGGCCCCAUCAACCCAGCUGCAGAUAAGGUUGGUGAACACAUGCAGGUCCCGGGAGGAUGGCAUGCCCAGAGAGCAUCAGAGCACGGUGCCCUCCCCACACAUAUGUUACCCUGUGCGUCUCUUCCAUCUGGCUGUUGCUGAGUCACAGAAAAAACCUCCUUUUCCUCGAUGGAGGAAAACAGCUACCCUUCAUGUGGAAACCCUGCAAAGUUCUCAGCUAAAGCAGCAACGAUCUGUGUUCAUUGCUUCAUCCCUGAAUGUGAGACAUGAGGCAGAAUAUGUCCUCCUACAGGAGAGAAAGGACGGUGGGGGCUGUAGGCGGUCCUGCACCUCUACAAAGGAAGCAUGCCGGGCCGCUGCUUAGAAUGCAGAUGUUGAUGACAAAAGUUGGAGCCACCAUCUUGGACCACAGUAUGGAGACUGCAUAUUGAAGAUGGCAGAGGAGUGGUAUAGAGGGAGUCUGGUUCAGUGAUAAUUGCAGAGCCACAAUAACAAUCCUGGUCUGCCUCCCUAGCAUUUAAUGCAUGGGACAAAUAAAUCUUAACGUUGCUUAAACCACUGUCAAUUUUGAGUUUCCCGACACUCAGCUGGAUAGAAUCCUAUCUAUUGCACAGGGAUACCUCCAUUCUUUGUCCCCGUCUCUCCCUACAUAAAGUCAUUGCCCUUUUCUGCAUUCUCUUCUUUUACUUCUACAUAUUUCAUCCAAAUGGAUUCAAAUUACACGUAUGUCUCAUUAAUGGCAGAUCACCAAAGGGGUGGAAAGCCAGCCUGGGACCUCUGGAGAGGGCAAUUAUGAGUUGGAGCCAAGGACCAGGCUCUGAGAGGCAACGUUCUUGGUCCUGGCCAGCAGAGAGGGAGUGGUUUAAACCCAGUUCUUCCUGCUCAGUUAGCCUCCCUGCCCAUUUAUGAGGCAAAGCAUGAGUCUUGCCAACAAAAUCU